rnacentral:rRNA from 1 species
AAAUUGAAGAGUUUGAUCAUGGCUCAGAUUGAACGCUGGCGGCAGGCCUAACACAUGCAAGUCGAACGGUAGCACAGAGAGCUUGCUCUCGGGUGACGAGUGGCGGACGGGUGAGUAAUGUCUGGGAAACUGCCUGAUGGAGGGGGAUAACUACUGGAAACGGUGGCUAAUACCGCAUAACGUCGCAAGACCAAAGAGGGGGACCUUCGGGCCUCUUGCCAUCAGAUGUGCCCAGAUGGGAUUAGCUUGUUGGUGAGGUAACGGCUCACCAAGGCGACGAUCCCUAGCUGGUCUGAGAGGAUGACCAGCCACACUGGAACUGAGACACGGUCCAGACUCCUACGGGAGGCAGCAGUGGGGAAUAUUGCACAAUGGGCGCAAGCCUGAUGCAGCCAUGCCGCGUGUAUGAAGAAGGCCUUCGGGUUGUAAAGUACUUUCAGCGGGGAGGAAGGUGUUGU